UUCUAUGACCAUACCACCUUGAACGCACCCGAUCUUGUCUGAUCUCGGAAGCUAAGCAGGGUCAGACCUGGUUAGUACUUGGAUGGGAGAAAGGACAAAGGCAAGAGAGAGAUGGAAA
rnacentral:rRNA from 1 species